CCUACGGGAGGCAGCAGUGGGGAAUAUUGCACAAUGGGCGCAAGCCUGAUGCAGCGACGCCGCGUGCGGGAUGAAGGCCUUAGGGUUGUAAACCGCUUUCAGCAGGGACGAAAGUGACGGUACCUGCAGAAGAAGCCCCGGCCAACUACGUGCCAGCAGCCGCGGUAAUACGUAGGGGGCGAGCGUUGUCCGGAUUUAUUGGGCGUAAAGAGCUCGUAGGUGGUCCGGUAAGUCGGAUGUGAAAUCUCCACGCUUAACGUGGAGGGGUCAUUCGAAACUGCCAUGGCUAGAGUUUGGUAGAGGAGUGCGGAACUCCCGGUGUAGCGGUGAAAUGCGCAGAUAUCGGGAAGAACACCCGCAGCGAAGGCGGCACUCUGGGCCAAUACUGACGCUGAGGAGCGAAAGCGUGGGGAGCAAACAGGAUUAGAUACCCUGGUAGUCCACGUCGUAAACGUUGGGCACUAGGUGUGGGGAUCUAUCGACGGUCUCCGUGCCGUAGCUAACGCAUUAAGUGCCCGCUGGGGAUCGGCGCAAGGCUAAAC
rnacentral:rRNA from 1 species